GAUGAACGCUGGCGGCGUGCCUAAUACAUGCAAGUCGAGCGAACAGACGAGGAGCUUGCUCCUCUGACGUUAGCGGCGGACGGGUGAGUAACACGUGGAUAACCUACCUAUAAGACUGGGAUAACUUCGGGAAACCGGAGCUAAUACCGGAUAAUAUAUUGAACCGCAUGGUUCAAUAGUGAAAGACGGUUUUGCUGUCACUUAUAGAUGGAUCCGCGCCGCAUUAGCUAGUUGGUAAGGUAACGGCUUACUAAGGCAACGAUGCGUAGCCGACCUGAGAGGGUGGUCGGCCACACGGGAACUGAGACACGGUCCAGACACCGACGGGAGGCAGCAGUAGGGAAUCUUCCGCGAUGGGCGAAAGCCUGACGGAGCAACGCCGCGGGAGUGAUGAAGGUCUUCGGAUCGUAAAACUCUGUUAUUAGGGAAGAACAAAUGUGUAAGUAACUAUGCACGUCUUGACGGUACCUAAUCAGAAAGCCACGGCUAACUACGUG
rnacentral:rRNA from 1 species